rfam:Actinoplanes awajinensis subsp. mycoplanecinus strain NRRL B-16712 P067contig136.1, whole genome shotgun sequence.
UUUGAUGCUGCCGAGCCGCAGCGGCUCGGCCCGGUCCUGGCCAUACGCGGCGAGCACUGCCUGCGCCUC